AGAAGACGACCUGACUUAGGUCGUCGUAGUCAAUCAAAUGUGCGAAGAGCUACCUCACGUGCUAACCGCACUGAUGACCAGAGACAGACAGAUCAAGUAAAUAGUCGUAUUGCUAUGUCAGAAUUGCGUUCUUUAGUGAGUGACAAUGUAGGAGAUAGGCUUAGAAUGCAACGAUUUGUUUGUUUUAAAAUCAUUUUAUACAAACAGAGAAAGCGACUUUGUUUUAUACUAUUUGCCAAACGAUAUGGAGAAUUAUACAGAAUAUCGUAUUAUGGGAACAGUAUCACAAAUACGAAUGAAACCAGGUUGUUGCCCAAAUAAAUUUAAUUGUCAGUCAGACGGGAGAAAGCAAACAUGUAACAGUUCUGAACAACCGUCUAUACAUAAAAAACAAGGGAA